AUGCCUUGAAUCUAUAGGGAAAGCAAUCAUAGAGGGUAAUGCCAGAAUCCAUGCUGCUAAUAUGAGAUGAAUUCUUGAACAGGAAAAGGUUGCCCCUAAGACUACCCACCUACUUUGCGGGAUGCCCAGGAGUUACAAUCUGCCCU
ensembl:snRNA U12 U12 minor spliceosomal RNA